AUUGAACGCUGGCGGCAGGCCUAACACAUGCAAGUCGAACGGUAACAGGAAGCAGCUUGCUGCUUCGCUGACGAGUGGCGGACGGGUGAGUAAUGUCUGGGAAGCUGCCUGAUGGAGGGGGAUAACUACUGGAAACGGUAGCUAAUACCGCAUAAUGUCGCAAGACCAAAGAGGGGGACCUUCGGGCCUCUUGCCAUCGGCUGUGCCCAGAUGGGAUUAGCUUGUUGGUGGGGUAACGGCUCACCAAGGCGACGAUCCCUAGCUGGUCUGAGAGGAUGACCAGCCACACUGGAACUGAGACACGGUCCAGACUCCUACGGGAGGCGGCAGUGGGGAAUAUUGCACAAUGGGCGCAAGCCUGAUGCAGCCAUGCCGCGUGUAUGAAGAAGGCCUUCGGGUUGUAAAGUACUUUCAGCGGGGAGGAAGGGAGUAAAGUUAAUACCUUUGCUCAUUGACGUUACCCGCAGAAGAAGCACCGGCUAACUCCGUG
rnacentral:rRNA from 1 species